rnacentral:rRNA from 1 species
AACGAACGCUGGCGGCAGGCUUAACACAUGCAAGUCGAACGCAUCCUUCGGGGUGAGUGGCAGACGGGUGAGUAACGCGUGGGAACGUGCCCUUCAGUUCGGGAUAACCCAGGGACACUUGGGCUAAUACCGGAUACGUGCGAGAGCAGAAAGAUUUAUCGCUGAAGGAUCGGCCCGCGUUUGAUUAGCUAGUUGGUGGGGUAAUGGCCCACCAAGGCGACGAUCAGUAGCUGGUCUGAGAGGAUGAUCAGCCACAUUGGGACUGAGACACGGCCCAAACUACUACGGGAGGCAGCAGUGGGGAAUAUUGGACAAUGGGCGCAAGCCUGAUCCAGCCAUGCCGCGUGAGUGAUGAAGGCCUUAGGGUUGUAAGCUCUUUCGUCCGGGACGAUAAUGACGGUACCGGAAGAAGAAGCCCCGGCUAACUUCGUGCCAGCCGCCGCCGUAA